rnacentral:tRNA from 1 species
GGUCCCAUCGUCUAGCGGUUAGGACACCAGGUUCUCAUCCUGGUAACAGGGGUUCGAUUCCCCUUGGGAUCACCA